rnacentral:sRNA from 1 species
GGCCGCGGAUAUAAAGCGCGGCGGCGGCUGCCGGGCGGAGCGGCAGCACGGACAAUAGCGGAGGCCUGGAAGGGGAAACUGAAGCAGAAAGAGGUUACUUAAUGGGCUCAAGGUCACCUACCUGACCUACCAGCAGCUCAAUGGCCUUCCCAAAGAAGAAACUUCAGGGUCUUGUGGCUGCAACCAUCACGCCAAUGACUGAGAAUGGAGAAAUCAACUUUUCAGUAAUUGGUCAGUAUGUGGAUUAUCUUGUGAAAGAACAGGGAGUGAAGAACAUUUUUGUGAAUGGCACAACAGGAGAAGGCCUGUCCCUGAGUGUCUCAGAGCGUCGCCAGGUUGCAGAGGAGUGGGUGACAAAAGGGAAGGACAAGUCAAACCAUCAUAAGUUGGGGACCAUCCGCACAACCCAAAGUAGACAGAGUAGCUUUAGAAGACAGCUGAAGGCCUGGCACAGUGGCUCACACCUGUAAUCCCAGCACUUUGGGAGGCCAAGUGGUAGCUGUGCCUAGCAGCCCAGGAGAAAGAGGAAGAGCAAAUGGAUGAUUGGCUUCACCUAAACCAAGAGAAAGGGGUAGUGAAGGGAGGGGUUGUGCAAUAAAACUGCUGGUGAGAGUUCAACAGGCUGGAUCAGGUGAUAAUUCACGUAGGAGCACUGAGCUUGAAGGAGUCACAGGAACUGGCCCAACAUGCAGCAGAAAUAGGAGCUGAUGGCAUCGCUGUCAUUGCACCGUUCUUCCUCAAGCCAUGGACCAAAGAUAUCCUGAUUAAUUUCCUAAAGGAAGUGGCUGCUGCCGCCCCUGCCCUGCCAUUUUAUUACUAUCACAUUCCUGCCUUGACAGGGGUAAAGAUUCGUGCUGAGGAGUUGUUGGAUGGGAUUCUGGAUAAGAUCCCCACCUUCCAAGGGCUGAAAUUCAGUGAUACAGAUCUCUUAGACUUCGGGCAAUGUGUUGAUCAGAAUCGCCAGCAACAGUUUGCUUUCCUUUUUGGGGUGGAUGAGCAACUGUUGAGUGCUCUGGUGAUGGGAGCAACUGGAGCAGUGGGCAGUACCUAUAACUACCUGGGAAAAAAGACAAACCAGAUGUUGGAGGCUUUUGAACAAAAGGACUUCUCUUUAGCCCUGAACUACCAGUUUUGUAUCCAGAGAUUUAUCAACUUUGUUGUCAAACUAGGUAAGUGCCACCCAUCUUCUGCUUUGUCUGCUGCUGGAGACUGUAAAGAAAAUGGAAUACCAUCACUUUAUCUGAGGGUUCAACAAGAACACCUUUUAAUGGUCUGUUGCAAGCAGAGUUCUGUUUCCCUUAUUAACCCUCGGGGCCAACCAUAUAAAACUGUGAAGUAAACCUAGUUGGAAAAUCUUUGGCAACCUUCUCCAUUUUAGCACAUGCCUACCCCAUUUUCCAUUCUUUCUCUCCUAAACCAUCAGCACUCCCUCCCUUUACUUGCUUCAGCUCAUUAAAAUUCUACUACUGCAUUGAAGUUGAUUUCAGCCUAAGUGCUUGGAGGAAGGCAGUCUAAAUACAGAUUUUACUAAAUUGUGAAUGACUGACAGCUCUCCCAAGAGUAUUUACAAUUUAAACAGAGUUUAUUAACACAAGUAAGCCUAAAUGGAUGGAGGUUUGGAUAAUAUGACAAAGUAAAAUUGGGGAGCAGUCGUGGGGAGAAAUACAGUGAAUUUUGAGUAGAGAAACCGCUCCAGAGUGUCUUAAAUCUUCUAUAACAAAUGACAUGCCACUAUCCACUCUUCUGCAAGAGAUUGGCCCUUGGGCCAAUUGAAUCUGCGUUAAUGCAGGAAAAUUUUUAAGUUUAUUUUUGGCAGACCUCUCUGCUCCCUGUCAGAGUCCUGCAUAAUUCUGACAACUCCUCCCUCUCCCCCAAGCACCUCUUCUGUGUUAUGCCCCUCAUUCUUGCAGGGUUCUCAACCCACUCUCUUACUCCUUCAAGGACGUUUCUGUUUGUUUUUCCACUUUUGUGAUUUUUGCACAUUUGUGUGCUGCCAGUGCUAUAAACUACCUAUUAUUGUUCCAUUUUUCUAAGCAAUGUUUUCACAAAAUUGUGGGUUUGGUGUGAUAAUUAUUAUGUUCCUAAAGUACAUUAAAAUAGGUAUUGAACUGUUAAAAUUUUAGACAAACUAAAAGCUUGAUGUGUGUAGUAGUCCCCCCUUAUCUCAGGGGGAUAUGUUCCAAGAUGACCAGUGGAUGCCUGAAAUUGCAGAUAAUACGAAACCCUAUAUAUACUAUGUUUUUUCCUGUACAUGCAUACCUAUGGUAAAGUUUAAUUUAUAAAUUAGGCAUAGUAAGAGAUAAACAGUAACUAAUAAUAAAAUAGAACAAUUAUAACAAUAUACUGCAAUAAAAGUUAUAUGACUAUG